UACGGGGGGGGCAAGCGUUGUUCGGAAUUACUGGGCGUAAAGGGCUCGUAGGCGGCCAACUAAGUCGGAUGUGAAAUCCCCAGGCUUAACUUGGGAACUGCAUCCGAUACUGGAUGGCUUGAAUCCGGGAGAGGGAUGCGGAAUUCCUGGUGUAGCGGUGAAAUGCGCAGAUAUCAGGAGGAACACCAAUUGCGAAGGCAGCUCGCUGGGACGUUACUGACGCUGAGACGCGAAAGCGUGGGGAGCAAACAGG
rnacentral:rRNA from 1 species